GAGGAAAAGGAAACCAACAGGGAUUGCCUCAGUAACGGCGAGUGAAGCGGCAAAAGCUCAAAUUUGAAAUCUAGCACCUUCGGUGUUCGAGUUGUAAUUUGAAGAUGGUAACCUUGGGUUUGGCUCUUGUCUAUGUUCCUUGGAACAGGACGUCAUAGAGGGUGAGAAUCCCGUCUGAUGAGAUGCCCAUUCCUAUGUAAGGUGCUAUCGAAGAGUCGAGUUGUUUGGGAAUGCAGCUCUAAGUGGGUGGUAAAUUCCAUCUAAAGCUAAAUAUUGGCGAGAGACCGAUAGCGAACAAGUACAGUGAUGGAAAGAUGAAAAGAACUUUGAAAAGAGAGUGAAAAAGUACGUGAAAUUGUUGAAAGGGAAGGGCAUUAGAUCAGACUUGGUGUUUUACGAUUAUCUUCUCUUCUUGAGUUGUGCACUCGUAUUUCACUGGGCCAGCAUCGAUUCGGAUGGCAAGAUAAUGGCAGUUGAAUGUGGCUUCACUUCGGUGGAGUGUUAUAGCUUCUGCUGAUAUUGCCUGUCUGGAUCGAGGGCUGCGU
rnacentral:rRNA from 1 species